AUGGGCACGUGCGUGUCGCGGCCCAGCGCGUGCGUGGGGAAGCCCAGCACGCCGCGCUCCGGCGAGGCGGCGCGGGCCCCCUCGCGCAGGCGCCGCCGCCGCGGGGCCAAGGGCCGGAGGAAGGCGCCCUCGCGCGCCGCCUCCAUGGAGACCAUCCAGGAGGCCGAGGGGCCCCCCGACCCCUCCAACCCCGCCGCCGCAUCGGCCUCCGGCGACUGCCGGACCUACAGCAACCCGGCCUUCCAAGUGACCGGGAGCAUGGAGGAGGCCUGGUACGACUCCUUCGCCAUCAGCGAGUCAGACGGCGAGGACGAUUUCCACAGCGUGCAAGAUGGGACGCCAAUGGCGGGAGCUUCAAUGGAGCUGAACACCACCAUAGGAAGCCAAGGUCCAGUGAGCUGCCAAAGGGGAAUUUGGAGAAACGGUGCGAGGCCCUCUGCUAGCCAUGAGGAUGGGGUGAGUGUUUCAGGCGGUGCUAGCCCAAGUAGUGGAGGGAUACUGGACAAUUGCGGUCUCCUGCCAAAUAACUGUUUGCCAUGUAUGGCCUCUGCUGUUGGUGUGAAUGAGAAGAAGAGGGCGCUUUCCACAAGCCCGACUCAUUCGAUGAAGAUGCCUUCGUUGAAGCUCUCGUUCAAGAAGAAGUCUGGGGAAGCCAACCCGUCGUCCACACUAUUGUCUACAAAGGAUUUCCUUGAAAGGCCUCUAGCAGGUUCUCAAGUACAGUUAUGUUUGCUGGAAAAGAAAGUGCUGAAUAGCUGGUCUCAUAUUGAUCCUGGUACAUUCAGAGUCCGGGGAUCUAACUAUCUUAGGGAUAAGAAGAAAGAGCUUGCUCAAAAUUGUGCGGCGUACUAUCCAUUUGGAGUUGAUGUAUACUUAUCGCCGCAAAAACUCCAUCAUAUAUCUCGAUUUGUCAAGCUUCCUGAUAUUCAAAUCUCCAGCAAACUCCCUCCUCUUUUGGUGGUCAAUGUACAGGUUCCACUAUAUCCUGCUUCACUCUUUCAGAAUGAAACCGAUGGGGAAGGCAUGAGCUUUGUUUUGUAUUUUAGGCUUUCCGAAGGUUACUCAAAAGAGCUUUCACCCUUAUUCAUAGAGAAUAUCAGAAGGUUGGUUGAUGAUGAUGUAGAAAAAAUAAAAGGAUUUCCUAUGGAAACAAGUAUAUCAUUUCGGGAACGGCUGAAGAUACUUGGACGGGUGGCUAAUCUGGAGGACCUUCCUUUAAGUGCCGCAGAGAGGAAGCUAAUGCAUGCAUACAAUGAGAAGCCUGUGCUUUCUAGACCUCAGCAUCAGUUUUUCCUGGGUGAUAACUACUUUGAGGUUGACAUUGACAUGCAUAGAUUUGGCUACAUCUCAAGGAAAGGUUUCGAGACAUUCCUGGACAGGCUAAAAAUAUGCAUGCUAGAUGUUGGGCUAACCAUCCAGGGAAACAAACCCGAAGAACUACCUGAGCAGGUCUUGUGCUGUGUUAGGUUGAACGGGAUAGAUUAUGCAAAGUAUCAGCCACUGAUGACAAACGGUGCCUGA
rnacentral:rRNA from 1 species